AUGAACCAAUAGAGGUUGGAUUUACUCUAAUGGAUUCAAGAACAAACUACCAAAUCACAUCACAAAGUCAAGAUUUAAAACUGAAAUUCAAUUAGAUAGUUGGAAAAGCAUAUGGCAUUCGCACCAUAUAUUACAAGGGAAGCCCGAGAAGAGAUGAAUGAUUACUUUUUUUCCCACCUAUAGAUACAUUCAAAGCCCGAGAAGAGAUGAACCAAUAGUAGUAGUACCUAAAAUUGGUGCAUAUACAUAUAAAUG
rnacentral:misc_RNA from 1 species